UAUGUGACAUACUCCCAAUACAAGGCAGACACAAAAGUACUGCUGGCUACCCAGGGACUGUACUAGAUACACAUUUGUGUCAGUUUUGGUCUGGCAGGCUUAUUAGUUUUAGUUCCUUGCUGGAUUUAACAGUCUGCCUGCUUCCUGUGGAGCCACCUGAGCAUCUCUGAGUAGUGCUCCUGUCCCCAGGCACCUGAGCAGCCCAACAGGACCGACCCAGCACCUGAGCCCUGAUGGAGCUCAGCUGGCCAUGGGGGUGUCCUCAGCAUCCCACGUCCUGCCAUUCUCAGCCCCACAAGGGGAGGGAUGGCAUCCGAGCUGACUCCCUGCAGACUUGGCUCUGACCCAUGAGGCUCCCUGGCCCUCAUUCCAUGUGUGAAUCUGUGCUGCCUCCAGACUCAUGCUGACCCUGGAAGGUGUCCAGAGGUGUUUGGCAGAGCUGCUUUUCGACUAAUAAGCCUGAGUGGGCUUGAGCUGGGUGUCUCUGGCAGAGAAAACAUGCACUUUGGGAAAACAAAGUUCAGUUUCCCUCUCAGCAUUGAGCUGGGGAGAGCAGAAAAAACUCAGCUCCAGUCCCCAAACUACUGUGGAACACAGCAGCAGUGCAACUACUGGUUCUGCCCUCUGGAACACUCCUUCCCUGGGCAUGAACUGAACACCUAGGAAAGGGACACCACCAUUUGCCCUGAGGUAGCACUGAACUAUCAGCUUUUCUUCCUUUGCAAAUGUGAAGUGCGACUCAGAUUAUUCACUUUUGGACCCUGGUGUGCACAAAGCCACUUGGUGGCUGGGACCAAGUGUUAGCCAUGUCCUUGCAGCAGAAGUCGUUCAGCCAGGUUUGUGGCUCUGUGAUCUACUCUCCCCCAAGGUUGGCUGCUCAGAGGAGCUUGCUAAGAAAUAUUCUUUCAGCCCAAACAAGAUCUAAAAAAUCUCAGGUUGCAAUGGGUGAGUAAUUAUGGGGAAUAACUAAGAAAGUAGAUCUUGCUCUUCUCUGAGGUUUUGUUUUUAGUUUUUUGUGGUGUUUUUGGUUUGGUUAUUACUUUUUUUUGGUGAGGUUGUUCGCAGCACACUGUAUUCAGUGAAAUAUCACUGACUGAUUAACUUCUGCCUUCAAAACUUUGUGUCUUCCAUGAAGGCAUUUCUGGGGAGUAUUUCAUUUUCUGAAUUACUACUUCAGCCUUGAGUAAGAUUUGCUAGUCUUCCAGGAUACUGAGUUUCAAGACAAGUAUCAGUUCCCAGUUCCCUCCCAUAUCUCUCUUUCUGGUCUUAUUCAGAGUACAGCAGGAAGUACAGAAGUCACCAGGCUGCUGGCACAGUCCAAAACACGACUUUGCUCAUACAAGUGUGUUCCUGCUGGCUAAAGGCAUCUGUUCCAGUCAUUCCACUCCUGGUCCCUCCUACAGUUUAGGUGAAAAGGCACAACAAAGGAUUCACUCCUCAGCAGACAUCAAAGGUGAUUUAUACUAUUUUGCCCUGGGCAUGUAAUCCAAGUUAUAGUUCAGAAUGCAAUAUAGAUGCUUUUAUUACUGCAUACUGCAAUGCUUGAACAAUAAUUUGACAUGCUAAGUUUAACCUUCUCGUUUUGUGCGCAUAUCCUAAUAUUUGCUUCUUCUUCAUAGUGAAACAUUAGUGAGGACUUUGGGAGGAGAUGUGCAACACCAAAAAUACAUCAGUGGCUGUGUCAACGGAGGGUAGUAGAAAUACUUUUAGCAGUGUUGUCCCAGUUCUGUUCCCAGGGGUUUGAUUCUGCCUGCAGCAGAUGCAGUGUCUUGGUGCAACACUGAAGGACUUGGAAACCCACGUGUGUUCACAGGUGGCACCAAGGCAUUUUGUCAACAGCACAGAGAAGGGCUGUCAUGGUGAGAAGAAUGAUUUCAGAGAGGACAUGGCUCAAGGCUGGCAGGAGGCACAGUUCCUCCUGCUCCUACCAGAAGCAUGUGAGCCACCACUGACCCACAAGCAGCAUCUCCCUUGGCAGGACCAAAAAGGCUGCUUGCCCCAGCACACUUGAUGGUGGGUUUGUCCUUAUGCACUACUGUUCCUUCUGCUCUGUGGCUGGAAAAAAAUGCCUACUGCUUUCCACCUGCUUGGGCAGCAGUUAAAAACAAUCAUUAAUUAUUAAGACUAGAUAGUAAUUCAGUCCCAAAUAUUGGCAACUGUCAGUAAGUCUCACAGGACUAGAAUUCUAAGGAGUUUUUUCAGUUUCUAGUUGAAGCUUGGAAGAAAACAAAUUUCUCUUUUCCAUUUCAUUUUUCUACUGGUAGUGAGUUAUAAUUCAGAGCAAAAUGAGGAGAGAGGUUCACUCAGGAAAUGUGACAAGUAUUCAGCACACAGCUGGGUCUUGGCUUUGAGUCCAUCUUUAGUAUUAAACAGGUUUGAUCUUGUCUCCCACAAACUGUGUGGGUGGCUUGUACUGUUCUGGGGCUGAAAUUGAGACAAGUUGUUUGCCAUCUCUUCUGCUCUUCCAACACUUUCUCUGAUUCUUCACAAACUGAUUUGUUUCUGCUCAACACCAGACAGUAUAGCAGCCAACUGCCACUGAAGGGGACAUCCUUGCCCUGCCUAUCCAACGCCAGCUGGCUGCUUCUCCUGCUUCCCUUUGUGCCACACCAGCUCCUGGCUAACCCUUAGAGACCCAGGUCAACCCCCAUAGCUGGUUGAAAACUAACCCUCCAAAAGUAGGAAUGGUCUACUGUUGGAUUAGCAAACUGACUCAAAUCCUCUAAGGGUUCUGUUUAAUCUACAUUAACUGGAUUUUAACAAGCUCAAGAAAGUCAAACCAAUGGAACAGUCCUUCCCCCAUGAAGGAGCACAGGAGAAUUAAAAAGCCUAAAAAGUCUAAAAAGAUGUUUGGUGAAAAGCUCUGUCAGGAGAAACUCAUGUAAAUAAUUUCAUUUUCUGGCUUGGAAUCUUAUCACCAUCUACAAAUAUCAAUGCUAAGAUCUAGUUACUAUAGUCCUUUUCUUUUAUCCUGUCUAGAUAUCAGUAUUUAAUCUUAUUUCUGCCUUUCUGCCAUUGUCUCUUCUGUCUUCUGUUCUGGUGUUUCUCUCCUUUUUUUAAACUACAUUUUUAUUUAAAAUGCAGAUGUCUUUUUACACAGUGCAGUGAAAGAUUUAGCAACUAGAAUAAAUAAGGUACAUCAUUAUCCCAUCUAUUGUGUUUAUGUCAACUUUAUGUGAAACCUUUAUUGUCUAUCUUCUGUAACAAAUCACUGUUAAUGUUCACUUUAGUAUCCCCCCUGUAUUGCUCACCACUUAAAUCUAAUUUACAAUAUUCAGAUAAAAUAUCUAGGAAUGUUAGAGAAAAUGAUUAAUCAAUUAAUUGGAAAGAAGUGCAUUUGACUGUGGAGUCACAUCAGUGAGCAAGUGGUUAUUCUGGUUACAUCAACUGUUGGUCCUUUCUUACUCUUUCCUGCAAGAGGAGGAAAACUGUUGGGAUGACUUUGUGCUGUAUCUUCCAGAACGAAAUUCUAGCCUACCUGGCAUUCCAGGGUCAGUUUGGAGGCUCAGCUUAACCCAGAGUGGUAAAAUGCCUUUUCCUCUCAAGAACUGCUGCAAACCUCCAUGAAAGGUAAAUCAGAGAAUAUUCCUGGGGAGAAAACACUAAUGGUGUCUUAGACCUGAGGCAUGCUCCAGGCAGCUGUAGACACUCAAACUGCCUUGUCUUACAGGUCCUGGUACAACCCUUGUAUCUCAUAAACCAACAAGCAAUGUCACCACCCCAAUGUCUUCCCAGAAGAGCACUCAUGAGGGAAGAUGGUUUCUUUGGAAAAGUUCAGUUCAGGCUGAAGCUGUAUGAGAACAGCUCUAGCAUGUUUCAGCUUCUUGCAGCUCAGUCUGAGAUACUGCAAUGGCUGCCAUUACUCCCUGGCCCUAUAUCUCACAGUCUUUAGGAUAUUUAUCUAUUUUACUCUUCUUAUUUUACAGAUGGGGAUUUACAGCACUUCAGAAGUACAUAAGCAGGUUAGAGGUAAGGUUGAUGGGAAUUAGAUGCCUGACACUUAUCUGGCCAUAAAAAUAGGGUUAUGCCACUCCUCAGUUACCCUUAACUGUCUCGUCCGGACAAUCCAAAUUCCAAAUUUCUGAUACUUAAAUGCAUCACUCUACCAUCCUUCUGCUAUGAUGUACCACUAAAGGCUGACAGGUUUCCACUGAGUGGCAUUUGCAAAGCUUCUUCGGAGCUCUGAAAUUAGAUUACAGUAGAGUAUAAGGAUGCUAAAUUGGAAAGAAUGUGAAUAUAUUUGUAAAUAUGAGAAAAGAUGACUUUUCAACUCACAUAAGAAAUUCACAGCAAAACAAGAGUUCACAUGUGAGCAACCUGGUCUAGUGAAAGGUGUCCUGCCCAUUGCAGGGGGGUUGUAACCUGAAGGUCCCUUCCAAGCAACACCAUUCAAUGAUUUUAUAAUUCCAUGAUCUACAGCUUGCAAGGAGCAGGUUAAUACCUUAAUUACUGUCUUAUCAUCUCACUUCACUAGUGCAAGCAGCUGGUGUAGAGCAUGGAAAAAUUAAAAACUUGUCAUAUUCCCCAAGGAAAAAUCCCUUUGCAAUUUAAUAAAGACAGAUACAAUUUUCAGUAACCUUUCAUGCUUUUAGAUAGAGGUUUAAUGGUUUACCCCAUUCCCAUCCAUUCUGUAGGGCUUUUCUAGAAUAAUUCCAAUAAUAAUACAACAGGAAUUGUACCAUGCAGCUGUAAAAUUACCAUUUAUAGUAGAAAUAUAUAAUAAAUAAUAUAAACCAUAAGCAUACAAUGAAUUUAUAUGUUUUACUGCACUAUGGUCCACAUGUGUCAAUAAAUCCUGAUAAUAAGGUUUUCAAAAGUGGAAUUUCAUUGGAAUUAUUUUAUAUCAUGCCAUAUAAUUAGUGUAAGAGACAAAGUUAUGUUUCGCAAGGAAGGGACAAAUAAAACUGUCGAAGUGUUAUUUUAAUAGUCACAAACCUUUCAUGGAAUAUUGUGGUACUAGUAAUAUUACAAUAAAAUACGGACCUUUUAAAC